AACGCAGGACGCAAGCGUUAUCCGGAGUUACUGGGCGUAAAGCGCGCGCAGGCGGUCCUUCAAGUCAGAGGUGAAAGCCCAGAGCUCAACUCUGGAAUGGCCUUUGAGACUAGAGGACUUGGGUACGGGAGAGGUGAGUGGAAUUCCGAGUGUAGAGGUGAAAUUCGUAGAUAUUCGGAAGAACACCAGUGGCGAAGGCGGCUCACUGGCCCGUUACCGACGCUCAGGCGCGACAGCGUGGGGAGUAAACAGG
rnacentral:rRNA from 1 species